UCGUAACUCCUAUGGUGCAAACCGAUAGUGUUGAGGCCAUAUUUGCAGAACAACAUUCUACUACUAUCGGCCCUAGUUAUCCAAUUAUUCAGAGUCCUAUGGUGACUUCUCCUGUGUCUUCUGCUAUGGUGACUUCUCCUUUGUUAGAAGUAGUGGUAAGUGCGGGAGAUGACACCCAUAUAGGAAAUGAUGACUGGAUAGUUGGUGGAAUAAAUUCUGAUAAUCUAGGCUUUGAGUCAGAUGAAAGCGGAG
rnacentral:lncRNA from 1 species